GACGAACGCUGGCGGCGUGCCUAAUACAUGCAAGUAGAACGCACAGUUUAUACCGUAGCUUGCUACACCAUAGACUGUGAGUUGCGAACGGGUGAGUAACGCGUAGGUAACCUGCCUGGUAGCGGGGGAUAACUAUUGGAAACGAUAGCUAAUACCGCAUAAUAUUGAUUAUUGCAUGAUAAUUGAUUGAAAGAUGCUAUUGCAUCACUACCAGAUGGACCUGCGUUGUAUUAGCUAGUAGGUGAGGUAACGGCUCACCUAGGCGACGAUACAUAGCCGACCUGAGAGGGUGAUCGGCCACACUGGGACUGAGACACGGCCCAGACUCCUACGGGAGGCAGCAGUAGGGAAUCUUCGGCAAUGGACGAAAGUCUGACCGAGCAACGCCGCGUGAGUGAAGAAGGUUUUCGGAUCGUAAAGCUCUGUUGUGAGAGAAGAACGGGUGUGAGAGUGGAAAGUUCACACUGUGACGGUAUCUGACCAGAAAGGGACGGCUAACUACGUG
rnacentral:rRNA from 1 species